AUCAUAAUUGAUGGUGCAUUAUUCUAGUAAUGCUUUCUAUUAUGAGGGUGGGGCUAAAAAUCCACUAAAGGGCACAUCGUUGAAGUUCCUUGUUUAUGCGCGAAAUGCCAGUUUUGUGUGUUCUCAGGGAGUAAGAUUCUAGGGAAAUAUGUAAUGGCAUACAUAUCAACACCCUAUUAUCGCGGAGGCUUAAAUAGAUUUACAUUUUAAGUAUAACCUGUGUAUUUAGAAUUAUUUUUGGAUACAUAGUGUAGCCUGUCUUGAGUGGUAGUAUUGGGAUUAUAUUUAUCUUAUAUAUGAAAUUUCUACUGCAAAAGGGACUAAUCUUAGAAAAGUAUUUCAAGGAAAACUUCUAGAAUGUUUGUUUCAUUAAAGAAGCAUAGAAUUAUAAGGAUUAAGGUACGGAUUUAAGUGGCAAUCUGGCAUUCCUUACGAGGAAUAUCUGCUUUAAAAGGAAACUGCUUAAUAGUAAUGUUAAGUGGCAGAUAGAGAAAUUAGGCUAGACCUCAAACCGUAAAAUUUACUUAUAAUUUUACCAUCUUAACUUUUUAU
rnacentral:sRNA from 1 species